UUUUAUGGAGAGUUUGAUCCUGGCUCAGGAUGAACGCUGGCGGCGUGCCUAAUACAUGCAAGUCGAGCGAACGGACGAGAAGCUUGCUUCUCUGAUGUUAGCGGCGGACGGGUGAGUAACACGUGGAUAACCUACCUAUAAGACUGGGAUAACUUCGGGAAACCGUAGCUAAUACCGGAUAAUAUUUUGAACCGCAUGGUUCAAAAGUGAAAGACGGUCUUGCUGUCACUUAUAGAUGGAUCCGCGCUGCAUUAGCU
rnacentral:rRNA from 1 species